GAUGAAGAACGUAGCGAAAUGCGAUACUUGGUGUGAAUUGCAGAAUCCCGUGAACCAUCGAGUCUUUGAACGCAAGUUGCGCCCGAAGCCAUUAGGCCGAGGGCACGCCUGCCUGGGCGUCACACGUCGUUGCCCCCCCAUCUACUCCUUCGGGAUUGCGGGGGGCGGAUGAUGGCCUACCGUGCGCCUCGCCGCGCGGUUGGCAUAAAUGCCAAGUCCUCGGCGACGCACGCCACGACAAUCGGUGGUUGCGAAACCUCGGUUGCCCGUCGUGUGCGGUCGUCGCGCAUCGAGGGCUCGAAAAAAUUGCCGGGUUCCGGCUCGGCUUUCAACGCGACCCCAGGUCAGGCGGGGUUACCCGCUGAAUUUAAGCAUAUCAAUAAGCGGAGGA
rnacentral:misc_RNA from 1 species